rnacentral:lncRNA from 1 species
AUUCUGAUGACUUUCCAUUUUCAAAAACAAAAGAACUCUCAACAGCAAAUGCUUCUUUCUCGGGAUAAUUAAAUGAUAUUCCAUUCUCUAAAUUCUUCAUGACUUCUGAAGUGAAUUUUUCAGAUUUCAUUUCAUGCACACCAGAUUCAUCAUUAACACUUGCUUGUGUUUCUACUUCAUGAUUGAUAUUUGUUCCAAUACCGACAUUUUCAGUAUGAAUCGGGCCUAUCUUAUCUCUAGGAUUUCUCCUCUUUGAAGAUUUCCUUUUAAAUCGAGCUUUCUAGUAUUUGAAUUUUCAUCGGCUAUAGAAACAGAUUCUGCAACCCUUUUUCUAC